rfam:Parcubacteria (Giovannonibacteria) bacterium GW2011_GWA2_44_26 TW55_C0001, whole genome shotgun sequence.
GCCCAGGUGGAGGAACUGGCAGACUCGCAGGCUUGAGGUGCCUGUGGCCGCAAGGCCGUGGGGGUUCAAAUCCCCCCUUGGGCA